rnacentral:rRNA from 1 species
UACGUAGGGUGCGAGCGUUAAUCGGAAUUACUGGGCGUAAAGCGUGCGCAGGCGGUUUUGUAAGCCAGAUGUGAAAUCCCCGGGCUUAACCUGGGAAUGGCAUUUGGGACUGCAAGGCUGGAGUGUGGCAGAGGAGACUGGAAUUCCUGGUGUAGCAGUGAAAUGCGUAGAUAUCAGGAGGAAUACCGAUGGCGAAGGCAGGUCUCUGGGCUGACACUGACGCUCAUGCACGAGAGCGUGGGGAGCAAACAGG